UCAGCUUGCCAAUGAAUGCGCAAAGAGCGGCACUGGGUGGGAUAGGGCAAAAGAGCGAGAGGAGGGGAAACGGAUGCGAAAGCUAAUCAGGAGAAUUGCUGAUCAAGCAAGUUCGGAAACUGCAAAUCUGGGCGCCAGAUACUACGAGGGUCAUAUGCUGCCUAGCGCAUCUACGGAGGAUGGAUUAGAAAAUUCGCCUAAUAUACGGCGGGAUUCGUUCACAAACUUCAGUUCUGGAACCGCUGAAAGCAGCCCUGGUCAGCAGUAUGCCAGAACAACACCCAAUUCGGCUCAGAAGCAGCACUCCGGCCAGCGUUCUGAAUUUCCGACCCAGGAUUCCCGCUCAGACUUUUCCCGUAAUGUUUUCGGAAUGCUGGAUGGCCGACGGGGACAUAGCCCGUCGGCAUCAAGCGACAAUGGAAUUCCACUGCCUUCUGAAGAUAAUCCUCAAAGCAGCAGUCCUGGACGGCAUAUGGUCACGAUGGCACACCAAGAAUAUGUCCCCUACUCCGCAGAAAAUACCGGGAGACCUGAGAAGCGCCACAGCUCUGACUCCCUGCUAAGCCGAGGGUUCGCAUCUCAAUCCCUCUUUGGGGCCCAUGGAGCUAGUAGACAAAACGAUUCCAAGAAAAACGGAUCAGGGCCAUCGCCACAAGACCAAUGCACGCGCCAAGUACUAGGUGAAUCAUUACCGAAGGAACACGGUAAAGGGUUCUUUCAUAAAUUGAAAUGGAAGAAGGGCCCUGAUUCAAUACAUGCUGGCUCAGAUGAGAUAAAUGCCGACUCGCCUACAAGUCCAGCAGGUGCACGCCAUCUCCCUCCAACCUCGGCUUUUAUGAGACAAGGUUACGACGGCAGCGAUAUGUCCCUAAAUGAGAGACCUCCUUCUUCCGUUUCUGAUUAUGAUUGGCUCCAAUCACGGUCUCGAAAGGUCACAACUAACGUGCCUCAAAGGCGAUUCGCUCUGGCUACCCCUGAUGGAUGGAAUUACCGAUUAAUAGAUCUCACAGACGUGGAUGCUGCAGACACACUACGAGCUACUAUAUGCCAUAGCUUAGGUAUCGAGGACCCGGGAAGUGCUUUGAUAUAUCUUACGGAACUUGGUCAAAUUACCCACGAGGAGCCGCUUAGUGAUACAAUGUUGGUUGUGAAUCGCAGGACAAAAUCAGACGCCCAGGCCACUUUGAAACUUUUCGUUCACCUCACCACUCCAUCUGCGACUGUACCGUUGACCCAGCCAACUGGCUUGGGCCUCUCAUCGGCAGAACGCGCUCGACUAGGUAGAAAUAUGGUGAAUGAUGAAGCUAGGAACUAUGUGGGAACAGUAUCGCCCUCCCAUAGAUCUCAGCCAGGGCUGAAGCCUAAUACUAACAAAUUCUCCCCUUAUGACCCUCGGAGCUCUGGCGAAAAUGGCAAUGAUAUCGAUCUAGAUUUGGAAAGUAGAGAGGCAUCAAUAUUAGCAGCUCAUGAAGAAUAUCGGCGAGAAGCUGAACGAAAACAGAAGGCUUAUUUACAAUCAAAACAAGAACAUCAGCAACAGAAAGAGUCACCGCAGGUGUCUAUAAGGCGGGAUGGUGUAAUAGAUUUUGAUUCACCUCGACUUUCUCCCUACGAAGAUAAGAAACCGGAUAACCUAGUUCCACUACGCAAACCGCCAUCGGCACCGUCAGAGUCGAGCACGCUCUCUAAAGUGAAUUCUUUGAGCAGAAAGCCAGGUGAUCGUCCGCCCAGAGGCUAUGACACUGAUCGUUCUAAGCGUAGUUCUGCUGAACAGAUAUCUGAAGAACGUAGAGAGAAACCAUGGACCCCAACUCCAAAUACCCCCGCGUCUGGGGUGGGUGAUGGAUUUGUUGGAGCAGCGUUGGCUAGCAUUGGGAAAGUUUCUAGUGCUAUUGGGAAACCAUUCCCCAGUCCAAUUACUGUCUCUAGCCGUUCUCCACGCUCUGAAUCUGAGCCUGUUUCCGGAAAGGGCCGUUCAUUGCAAUCCGCCGACCUCAACGAUCGUGAUGGACGACGAAACAGUCCAUCUUCGCCGAAAUUGCCCUUUUUCUCCCGUGGGAAGGGUACUUCCAAUUUUAAAGCACCUCACGAAGGCGAUGGGCGUGGGAAGACUCUUGUUCUCCCUGACAACAUGAAUUUACUUCGCACAGAUCUUGAUAGCUCUGCUUCCGCUAGUCCAUCAUCUGCUAAAAUCAGCUCUACUUUGGCAGAAAAUCGAAAGUCAAUUGGUCCUGACUUCGACUUCCAGGAGACCGAAGUGUCUUUCGCGGAAGCGCCAGCUGCUGAAGAUGAUUCAGAUGAAGAUUCAGAUGAAGGUCUAUUUGCUAUACCGCUGGCUAGCGCGAAGAGUGUGACGCUAACAAAGAUGAAUAAAACAUCGACAAACAACGGAAGUGCUAUCCAAGGUCGGUCUGCAAAACCUGCCCUCACUGUCAAUACCGGUCGACGAGGAGCCAAGGGGAUGUCUGUAAGCUUCAAAUCCCCUAUUAUAAGAGAAACAUCCAAUACGCCACCGACGCGAAGCACAGACAAAGAAAUAGGUGGAGAGAAUGAACAUCUCAGCAAUGAAAAUGACUCGUUAGAUUCGCAAGAGGCCUCUGAGUUCAAUCGUCCCGAAUCAAUCGUCCGGGACGACAUUUGGGCAUCCAGGCCUCCGGUAGAGGGUAUGAUUGAACGUCUAGACGAUUACUUCCCAGACGUCGAUCUGGAUGAGCCGUACGUGGAAGGAAGCAUGAUGUCUCCCCCUUUAUCUCCGACCAGCCCCGGGCCUACCAUUGGCUCAGAGACUGAUAGCCAGGCAUUGCGAAGCAGAGCUGCUCACAGUAACCUUGAUUCUAUAAUGUCUCAAGACAACACGGACUCUUUUGGUUCAGCUGAGUCCACUCUGAAGGCAAAAGGCACAGCUAAUACCAUUGCACAACGGAAUGUCACUCGAUCCCAAGGUGGUGGACUAAACCGCAUGAAAUCAAUCCGUGAGGUUGCAAAGGGCGCUCACCAGGUUCACAGAAACCAAAGCAUAAUAGCCUCCAACGCUAGAUCGGGUGCUCUUCUGCGACGCAAGAGUACCAAGAUGUUCGGUGCGAAGAUUAUGCAGGUUAAACCUGGAAGUCGGCUGAGUGAGCAUCCAGUUCCACUGCCGCAGAACCCUGGGUCCCAGAAUAAGCUACCUCAGAGACAAGCUACUUUCCGUAUCAUUCGAGGUCAACUUAUCGGCAAAGGAACGUAUGGUAGGGUGUAUCUCGGCAUCAAUGCAGAUAACGGAGAAAUUCUGGCAGUAAAACAAGUUGAAGUCAACCAAAAGGCUGCAGGCCAUGACAAGGACAAAAUGAAAGAGAUGGUUUCUGCUCUCGAUCAAGAAAUAGAUACCAUGCAACAUCUCGAACAUCCCAAUAUUGUACAGUAUCUCGGGUGCGAGCGCGGGGAACUGUCCAUUUCCAUCUAUCUCGAGUAUAUCCCCGGUGGAUCAAUCGGGAGCUGCCUUCGCAAACACGGCAAGUUCGAAGAAGGCAUCGUCAAGUCUCUUACACACCAGGUCUUGAGCGGGCUGGCAUACCUUCAUGACCAAGGCAUUCUUCACCGUGACCUCAAAGCCGACAACAUCCUUCUCGACCUUGACGGUACCUGCAAGAUUUCUGAUUUCGGCAUCUCAAAGAAGACAGACAAUAUAUAUGGAAAUGACGUUACGAACUCAAUGCAGGGCUCGGUAUUCUGGAUGGCACCAGAGGUUGUACAGUCACAGGGUCAAGGUUAUAGUGCGAAAGUCGACAUUUGGUCCCUUGGUUGCGUCGUGCUAGAGAUGUUCGCUGGCCGGCGACCAUGGAGUAAGGAGGAGGCGAUUGGAGCUAUUUUCAAGCUGGGAAGUCUGAACCAGGCGCCGCCAAUUCCUGACGAUGUAUCUGUAGCAAUCACGCCGGAAGCCCUUGCUUUCAUGUAUGAUUGCUUUACAAUUGAUACUUUCGAACGCCCGACUGCGGAAACCCUGCUCUCCCAGCACCCUUUUUGCAAACCUGACCCGCACUACAACUUCCUGGAUACUGAGCUGCAUGCGAAGAUUCGACAUGUUCUCUAAACAGCUAGGUAAUAACCACAACAUAUAUAUUUUCGGCAAGCCUUUGUUAUUUUAUUUUAUUUUUUUAUUUGGUUAGUCUUGUGAUUAUAUCAGAUUCUUCAAGCAACUGCGUUCUGCGUUGACAUCUACCCCCCAAUCAAUUUCGGGUAUCAUUCAUCCACCAUCUAUUAACUCUAGUCAUCGUCAUCUAUUUACUUCAUCGUUUUGUCAAUUACUUUUUUGCUUCUUAUGCCAUUGGUGGAUGGAUGAUGGCGGGGUGUUGUUAGUUUACUGCCUGGAAAGAUUCUGUGGCUGGAGGUCUGGGAUAUUGGUGUUAUAUUCUAUUUAUUUAUUGUUUUUGGUUGAAGACAAGGGAACCGCAUUGUAAUGUGCAUGACUCAUUGAUAAAUAGUAUAUUGUGGCUAUACAUUUCUUUUAUACUCAAUAAAAAGAUC
rnacentral:sRNA from 1 species